CGGCCGCGCGGUCUCGCAAGCGUCAAAAAAUCCCCGCGCCUUCCGUGAAAGCAACAUGGCAGCCCGGACUGCAACCCCUCAAACACCGGGAACGCCAGCGGAUCGCGCCCGCCCCCGGGUGUCCUGUCCGUGCUGCCCCCCGCCCGCAGUCCACCGUGCCUAGAGUGGCUCAAGAAUCGCCCUUUGUUCUCCGCCGGGUGGCCGACUCUCGCUCCUGGGGAUCCUGAUUGGGUUUCUGGUGCAAGGCGCUCCUGAAUCCUGAGUCCUAGACGGCAUGUAAAAAAAGGAUUGCUUUCUUGCUGGGUCACCAAACAGCAUAACAACAAGAACAACCGAAGAGAAUGUAAUAUGGGCGUCAGCGGAGAGUAACAAAGGAUGGCCCACUGUCUACCCACUGCAGAACACCUCCAGUU
rnacentral:lncRNA from 1 species